CAUAUAAGAAAAGUGAGCAUGAAAUCUAGCAAAUUUCAAGACGGUAUUUACUUUACGAAAAAAUCUUAGAGGGCGCCAAGUUCCUUUAAUGUCUUAACCAUUUCAUCAACACUCUUUACCAUUAUGUUUUGUCUCUUUUGAACAGGCUCGGAGACUGAAACAGUCUGUAGUCUUUGAUCAAUUGUUACGCCUAGAUCUUCGGGAGACAUUUUGCCUAAAGGAGCCUUCCUUGCCUUCAUAACUUUUGCCAAAUUCGCGAAUCUAGGAACAUUAAGACGUAAAUCGGUGGUAAUAAUGGCUGGAAGUGUACUACUUAAGGUUUCUUCACCGCCGUCAAUUUCUCUUGUAACGAUAACUUUGUCACCUUCAAUACGGACUUUACUUGCGCUAGUGAAUUGAGGCCAUCCAAGCAUAGCAGCCAGCAUACCACCUGUUUGGUGUGCAUCAUCAUCAAUAGCUUGCUUGCCCAGCAAAACCAGAUUACUUUUUUCCUUCUCGACUGUUGCCUUCAAAAGUUUGGCUACUGAAAGAGGUUCAAGUUCUUUUUCGCCAACAUUUAUAAGUGCUGCUCGGCCAAUUCCUUUAGCAAGACACUGGCGAAGAAUGGGCUCAGAAGAAGUUUGUCCUGCGGUCACUACUAAAGUGUCCUCAAUUCUAUUUUUCAAAGUUUCCUUCAUCCUUAUAGCCUCUUCUACAGCAAUAUCACAAAAUGGAUUAAUCUUUUCACGAUUAGUCAAAUAUAAAUUGCGAAUUACAGCAGUACUGAAAUGAUUACUCUCCUUUCAACAUACACUCAUUUUUUGCCCCGAUAAAUCAACAGCAGUCUUAGUGGCAUUGAUGCGAGGCUUUAACAUAUAGUCUAGAGUUCGCUUGACUCCUACUAAAAUGCGAAUUUUCGACAUUUUUGCGAUAUUGCUAUGCGGUGGUCAAAGACUGGAAUUGAAGAAGGUAGAAAGUUGAAUAUGAAACCUUCA